UACAGAGGUGGCAAGCGUUGUUCGGAAUUACUGGGCGUAAAGGGCGCGUAGGCGGUCUUCUAAGUCUUGUGUGAAAUCCCUCGGCUCAACUGAGGAACUGCACGGGAUACUGGAUGACUUGAGUUCGGGAGAGGGAAGCGGAAUUCCGGGUGUAGCGGUGAAAUGCGUAGAUAUCCGGAGGAACACCGGUGGCGAAGGCGGCUUCCUGGUCUGUAACUGACGCUGAGGCGCGAAAGCGUGGGGAGCAAACAGG
rnacentral:rRNA from 1 species